rnacentral:rRNA from 1 species
UACGUAGGGGGCGAGCGUUGUCCGGAAUUACUGGGCGUAAAGCGCGUGUAGGUGGCUUACUAAGUCAGAUGUGAAAACUCUCGGCUCAACUGGGAGACUGCAUUUGAUACUGGUAGGCUUGAGUGCUGGAGAGGGAAGUGGAAUUCCAGGUGUAGCGGUGAAAUGCGCAGAUAUCUGGAAGAACACCAGUGGCGAAGGCGGCUUCCUGGACAGUUACUGACGCUGAGACGCGAAAGCUAGGGGAG